UACGAAGGGGGCUAGCGUUGCUCGGAAUCACUGGGCGUAAAGCGCACGUAGGCGGAUCGUUAAGUCAGGGGUGAAAUCCUGGAGCUCAACUCCAGAACUGCCUUUGAUACUGGCGAUCUUGAGUUCGAGAGAGGUGAGUGGAACUGCGAGUGUAGAGGUGAAAAUUCGUAGAUAUUCGCAAGAACACCAGUGGCGAAGGCGGCUCACUGGCUCGAUACUGACGCUGAGGUGCGAAAGCGUGGGGGAGCAAACAGGAUUAGAUAC
rnacentral:rRNA from 1 species